UACGAGGGGGGCAAGCGUUGUUCGGAAUUAUUGGGCGUAAAGGGCGCGUAGGCGGUGCGGUAAGUCACCUGUGAAACCUCUGGGCUCAACUCAGAGCCUGCAGGCGAAACUGCCGUGCUGGAGUGUGGGAGAGGUGCGUGGAAUUCCCGGUGUAGCGGUGAAAUGCGUAGAUAUCAUUUGGAACGCCAAUGGUGAAAACAGGUAGCUGGGGCUGUGCUGACGCUGAGACACGAAAGCCAGGGGAGCAAACGGG
rnacentral:rRNA from 1 species